UACGGGGGGGGCAAGCGUUGUUCGGAAUCAUUGGGCGUAAAGGGCGCGCAGGUGGUUCUGUAUGUCUCCCGUGAAAGCGUACGGCUCAACCGUAUUUUGUCGGUAGAAACUGCAGGACUUGAGGCUGGGAGGGGCUGGUGGAAUUCCCUGUGUAGCGGUGAAAUGCGUAGAGAUGGGGGAGAACACUCGUGGCGAAGGCGGCCAGCUAGACCAGUUCUGACACUGAGGCGCGACAGCGUGGGGAGCAAACAGG
rnacentral:rRNA from 1 species